rnacentral:tRNA from 1 species
GCAGUGGGGUUCAGUGGUAGAACUCUCGCCUUCCAUGCGGGAGACCUGGGCUCGAUUCCGGGCCGAUGCA